rnacentral:rRNA from 1 species
GCUUACGGCCACACCGCCUGGUUCCACGCCCGAUCUCGUUUGAUCACGGAAGCUAAGAUAGGGUGGGCCAGGUUAGUACUUGGAUGGGAGACCUGGGAAUACCAGGUGCUGUAAGCU